GACGAACGCUGGCGGCGUGCCUAAUACAUGCAAGUCGAGCGGACUGAUUAAGAGCUUGCUCUUAUGACGUUAGCGGCGGACGGGUGAGUAACACGUGGGCAACCUGCCCUGUAGAUCGGGAUAACACCGAGAAAUCGGUGCUAAUACCGUGUAAUAUCUGAGAUCACAUGAUCUUAGGUUAAAAGAUGGCUCCGGCUAUCACUACAGGAUGGGCCCGCGGCGCAUUAGCUAGUUGGUAAGGUAAUGGCUUACCAAGGCGACGAUGCGUAGCCGACCUGAGAGGGUGAUCGGCCACACUGGGACUGAGACACGGCCCAGACUCCUACGGGAGGCAGCAGUAGGGAAUCUUCCGCAAGGGACGGAAGUCUGACGGAGCAACGCCGCGUGAGUGAUGAAGGGUUUCGGCUCGUAAAGCUCUGUUGUUAGGGAAGAAACAGUACCGAACGAACUAGGUCGGUACCUUGACGGUACCUAACCAGAAAGCCACGGCUAACUACGUG
rnacentral:rRNA from 1 species